GAUGAGCCGCACAGGCGUCGAAGCGAGACGACCCGAGCCGAUAACGCUCGACGUGGACGGAGACGGGAACAAAGGGGAUCUCGAUUCAUCCGCGCGCCCAGUGACCCAAUACCGCGCGUACCGAUCGACGCUGGGAAAUGGUCGACAGAAACGAUCCCGCGGAAUUCGCAGACGAGCACGCCGACGUGCGCCACGAAUCCCUGCGCCGCAUAUCGCCGCGUAGCCGAUUCAAUCAGAAGUGGCGCCACGAGGCGGGGAAGGGGGAUGAUGCGCGAAGGAGAAAGAUGCAAGAUGAGAAGAAGGAAAAGGCCUGGACGCGUUGGCGUUCGUACCUUCCAUAACACACGGUAGCGGCGUAUUGGAGCGACGCAACGAUCACGAACAAAGGGGGAGAGAGGGAGGGAGUGGCGAGUGGAGGGUAGGAAAGGAAGGGAGGAACUGAAACGAACGAAUGAAAUAACAAUCCGUUCCGGCGGCUGGAUCAUCCCAGGCGGCGUGUGCUAACUAAUGGCAUUCAAAAUUAGUCCUACCCGCCGCGAAAUUAUUGGAACCUGAUCCCGAAGGGGCGGUGGGUGUUCAAGGACAAGCACGUGGACCAAAGUUACCCGGUGAAGAUGCGGCCCACGGUAGCCAGGGCCGUUCCUCGCGACCGCAAUUGCGAGGCCCUCCCGGCUUCGAUAUUAGUUUUCGACGUCCCACGUCUCGACCCUCUUUUCUCCAGUCCCCUCGAAG